GGAAGCAAAAGUCGUAACAAGGUUUCCGUAGGUGAACCUGCGGAAGGAUCAUUAAAGAGAAUAUGCCCUUCGGGGUAGAUCUCCCACCCUUUGUUUAUAUUACCUUUGUUGCUUUGGCAGGCCCGUCUUCGGACCACCGGCUUCGACUGGUCAGUGCUUGCCAGAGGACCCAAAACUCUUAUUAUUAAUGUCGUCUGAGUACUAUAUAAUAGUUAAAACUUUCAACAACGGAUCUCUUGGUUCUG
rnacentral:misc_RNA from 1 species